rnacentral:lncRNA from 10 species
UUUAUUGAUCAUUCUUGGGUGUUUCUCGCAGAGGGGGAUUUGGCAGGGUCAUAGGACAAUAGUGGAGGGAAGGUCAGCAGACAAACAAGUGAACAAAGGUCUCUGGUUUUCCUAGGCAGAGGGCCCUGCCGCCUUCCGCAGCGUUUGUGUCCCUGGGUACUUGAGAUUAGGGAGUGGUGAUGACUCUUAACGAGUAUGCUGCCUUCAAGCAUCUGUUUAACAAAGAACAUCUUGCACCGCCCUUAAUCCAUUUAACCCUGAGUGGACACAACACAUGUUUCAGAGAGCACGGGGUUGGGGGUAAGGUUAUAGAUUAACAGCAUCCCAAGGCAGAAGAAUUUUUCUUAGUACAGAACAAAAUGGAGUCUCCUAUGUCUACUUCUUUCUACACAGACACAGCAACAAUCUGAUUCUCUUUCCUUUCCCCACACUUCCCCCCCUUCCACUCGACAAAACCACCAUCGUCAUCAUGGCCCGUUCUCAAUGAGCUGCUGGGUACACCUCCCAGACAGGGCGGCGGUCGGGCAGAGACGCUCCUCACAUCCCAGAUGGGGCGGUGGUCGGGCACAGUCACUCCUCAGUUCCCA